rnacentral:lncRNA from 1 species
UCUUGCCUGCAUCGAGUCUCAAUAUAAGACCCCACGCUACCUCUCAACCGAUCAAGGAGUCAAAUUUCAUAUUCCUUAUACUAAACCCACUAACAGUCAAUUCUCUCUUUCCCCUAUUCCAAGCAUUAUCCUUUCCUGCAUAUGCAUGCUAUUAUUUUUGUUUAAACAUUUCGUUCUAUUAUUACGUGAAAUUUGUGCGUUGUUUGUUCUCAUUUGGAUUAGUGA